rnacentral:rRNA from 1 species
UGAACGCUGGCGGCGUGCUUAACACAUGCAAGUCGAACGGAAAGGCCAGUGCUUGCACUGGUGCUCGAGUGGCGAACGGGUGAGUAACACGUGGGUGAUCUGCCCUGCACUUUGGGAUAAGCCUGGGAAACUGGGUCUAAUACCAGAUAGGACCAUGCUUUGGAUGGUGUGGUGGAAAGUUUUUUCGGUGUGGGAUGAGCUUGCGGCCUAUCAGCUUGUUGGUGGGGUAAUGGCCUACCAAGGCGUCGACGGGUAGCCGGCCUGAGAGGGUGUACGGCCACAUUGGGACUGAGAUACGGCCCAGACUCCUACGGGAGGCAGCAGUGGGGAAUAUUGCACAAUGGGCGCAAGCCUGAUGCAGCGACGCCGCGUGGGGGAUGACGGCCUUCGGGUUGUAAACUCCUUUCGCAACUGACGAAGCUUUUUGUGACGGUAGGUGGAGAAGAAGCACCGGCUAACUACGUG